UAACCUGCUAAAUAGACCAGUCGACUUUGGUUGACUGCUGUCUUCUUAGAGGGACUAUCAGCGUUUAGCUGAUGGAAGUUUGAGGCAAUAACAGGUCUGUGAUGCCCUUAGAUGUUCUGGGCCGCACGCGCGCUACACUGACAGAGCCAGCGAGUCUUUUUCCUUUGCCGGAAGGCAUGGGUAAUCUUGUGAAACUCUGUCGUGAUGGGGAUAGAACAUUGCAAUUAUUGUUCUUCAACGAGGAAUACCUAGUAAGCGUGAUUCAUCAGAUCGCGUUGAUUACGUCCCUGCCCUUUGUACACACCGCCCGUCGCU
rnacentral:rRNA from 1 species